rnacentral:rRNA from 1 species
UACGAAGGGGGCUAGCGUUGCUCGGAAUCACUGGGCGUAAAGGGUGCGUAGGCGGGUCUUUAAGUCAGGGGUGAAAUCCUGGAGCUCAACUCCAGAACUGCCUUUGAUACUGAAGAUCUUGAGUUCGGGAGAGGUGAGUGGAACUGCGAGUGUAGAGGUGAAAUUCGUAGAUAUUCGGAAGAACACCAGUGGCGAAGGCGGCUAACUGGCCCAUUACUGACGCUGAGGCUCGAAAGCGUGGGAAGCAAACAGGG